CAGUCUGGCCGCCUCCCAGUACUAGGUGUCCAGUGUCCCCUGUAUGGACUCCUCCCCACCCCACCCCUGCCAUUAAAAGGUAAUAUAGAUGUUCAUUGGUUAAAGUUUGGAAAAUGCGGAAAAUUAAAAUUAAUUUACCCAAAUCCCACCACUGAGACAAUCACCUGUUAAUGUUUUAGGGUAUGUUUAUCCUGUAUUUUUUCUAUGCAUAUAUAUUUUAUUACAAGAUUGGGAUCAUACUGUAUUUGCAGAUUUGUAUCCUUUCUUCUUUAACAUACUGUGAGCAUUUUCCCAUGUCAAUAAAUAUUCUUCAAAAAGUAAUGACUAGAUGAUAUUCCAUUCUAUGAAUUGUGGUAGACACUGCUAAUUGCCUACCCAAUAUUAUUCUUCCUUGCUAACACAGAAGAUGUCAUGGCCUCCCCUACCCACCACCAAAAAAACAAAAAACAAAAAACAGUACUGGUGCCUUCCUGGGAGGCAGCAGGAGCCCUGGCAGCAUUGAAGAGCACCUGGAACUAGGAAUGGCUCCGAGAAGCGCAGACGGGCACCACCAUACUGCACCAGUCCUGCCUGCAGCAGCCUCAGCAGCACAAACCAUGACCUGAUCAGAUGAAGUACCCAGAUAAUUCUACAGUUUGAGUCAAGGAGAGGCAUGUGGCAGCAGCAAGGUAUCCAGAUGGCUUUUAGAAGAGUCUGCAUGUGAAGUGUCAGUGUUUGCUGCUGUCUAGUCCAGAUGAGGGCAUGAAUUUUCUUGGUGAUACUCUUCAUAGCAAUCCCAGAGAAGAGAGGGCGCGCAAGGAUCGGGAGACACAGGCUGUUCUUUCAAGAAAAGGGGACACCUGUCGAACUACUGGAGUGAGAAGUCCAUCACCAAAGCCUGCACCCCAGUGCUCACUUACAGGACCCCGGGUGAAGUGCGGCUGGCACCGGCCAGGAGGAUUGUGGGGGCUGACUAACAGAAUCUCAUAGGUGAUACCCGAGUGGAGCCUGAGCUUGCCGCGUAUAGGAGAAAGACUGCUGUAGCCAAAAGAACCGGCUCAAACAAAAGCUCGUAGGCAAAAGGCACAGGACGUGUUUGCGCAACACCAGUAGUUGAGCAGGACUAAAACAAAGGCCUCCCAGCUCUCAUGACGGGACACAGGCGUAGCAGCAUUUCAGGCGAAGAAAGGACACAGUGAGAAAAGUCUGCAGGACAGAGGGCAGCCUGGAGAGGGACAGACAGUAGGAAAAGAGACCGGACAGGCCGGGGUCACACCCGUGACUGUGAGGGCGAGUGGGGCCUGGACCCGAGCAGCGGCAGUAGGUGCAGAAGAGCGAUGAAGUCGGGAGGCGCUCAUAAGCUGGAAUAAGUGCACGCCGGCGUCUUUAUGGCAAGAAAGAGCUCAUUUCAAAUCCAACGAGGACUUUGAGGGAGAAGGUCGCUAAGGCAUCGGCUGCCAACGUGUGAAAGAAGCAUCUUUGGGGCUGGGAAUAGGCGAGUGGAGCUGCGAGCUAUUUAUUUCAAGGAAUCUGCAAAUCCGUAUGGUCCCCAAGGCCCCUCUCUACAUCGAGUAAAGCAUGCCGUGGACAGGCAGGUACUGCUAUCUUACAAAUACUGUACAUAUACGUGUU
rnacentral:lncRNA from 1 species